GAUGAAGAACGUAGCGAACGGCGAUACGUAAUGCGAAUCGCAGGCUUCAAGCGAGUCAUCGAGUCUUUGAACGCACAUUGCACCCGCCGGCCAAUCCGGCGGGUCUGGCCGUCCGAGCGUCAUUUGCACCACUCGGCGUCGCGAGCAAUCCCCCCCAGGCCUCCCGGGCCCGGGGUGGGAGGGCCGGCGCCGGCGUUGGGAUGGCUGCGGCGCUGGCCGCACCCUCGAAAUUCAGCGGCGGCACCGCCCGCGAGUACCGGCGCGCAGUAGGCUCCACGCGGCAAACCACGCCAGGGAAAGCGCGGCGCGGGCCAACCCGGAAGCAAAAGUCUAAUACAGGUGUGACCUCGGAUCGGGCAGGGAUACCCGCUGAACUUAAGCAUAUCAAUAAGCAGAGGA
rnacentral:misc_RNA from 1 species